rnacentral:rRNA from 1 species
ACCUGCCCAUCAGAAGGGGAUAACACUUGGAAACAGGUGCUAAUACCGUAUAACAAUCAAAACCGCAUGGUUUUGAUUUGAAAGGCGCUUUCGGGUGUCGCUGAUGGAUGGACCCGCGGUGCAUUAGCUAGUUGGUGAGGUAACGGCUCACCAAGGCCACGAUGCAUAGCCGACCUGAGAGGGUGAUCGGCCACAUUGGGACUGAGACACGGCCCAAACUCCUACGGGAGGCAGCAGUAGGGAAUCUUCGGCAAUGGACGAAAGUCUGACCGAGCAACGCCGCGUGAGUGAAGAAGGUUUUCGGAUCGUAAAACUCUGUUGUUAGAGAAGAACAAGGAUGAGAGUAACUGUUCAUCCCUUGACGGUAUCUAACCAGAAAGCCACGGCUAACUACGUGCCAGCAGCCGCGGUAAUACGUAGGUGGCAAGCGUUGUCCGGAUUUAUUGGGCGUAAAGCGAGCGCAGGCGGUUUCUUAAGUCUGAUGUGAAAGCCCCCGGCUCAACCGGGGAGGGUCAUUGGAAACUGGGAGACUUGAGUGCAGAAGAGGAGAGUGGAAUUCCAUGUGUAGCGGUGAAAUGCGUAGAUAUAUGGAGGAACACCAGUGGCGAAGGCGGCUCUCUGGUCUGUAACUGACGCUGAGGCUCGAAAGCGUGGGGAGCAAACAGGAUUAGAUACCCUGGUAGUCCACGCCGUAAACGAUGAGUGCUAAGUGUUGGAGGGUUUCCGCCCUUCAGUGCUGCAGCUAACGCAUUAAGCACUCCGCCUGGGGAGUACGACCGCAAGGUUGAAACUCAAAGGAAUUGACGGGGGCCCGCACAAGCGGUGGAGCAUGUGGUUUAAUUCGAAGCAACGCGAAGAACCUUACCAGGUCUUGACAUCCUUUGACCACUCUAGAGAUAGAGCUUCCCCUUCGGGGGCAAAGUGACAGGUGGUGCAUGGUUGUCGUCAGCUCGUGUCGUGAGAUGUUGGGUUAAGUCCCGCAACGAGCGCAACCCUUAUUGUUAGUUGCCAUCAUUCAGUUGGGCACUCUAGCAAGACUGCCGGUGACAAACCGGAGGAAGGUGGGGAUGACGUCAAAUCAUCAUGCCCCUUAUGACCUGGGCUACACACGUGCUACAAUGGGAAGUACAACGAGUUGCGAAGUCGCGAGGCUAAG